rnacentral:rRNA from 1 species
ACUCAAAUGAAUUGACGGGGGCUCGCACAAGCGGUGGAGCAUGUGGUUUAAUUCGACGACAAGCGGGGAACCUCACCCAGGCUUGACAUCUCGGGAAAGCCUAUGAAAGUAGGCCGUGCCGCAAGGAACCCGAUGACAGGUGUUGCACGGUCGUCGUCAGCUCGUGUCGUGAGAUGUACGGUUAAGUCCGUAAACGAGCGAAACCCUUAUCCGGUGUUGAAUUUCUCACCGGAGACUGCCGGCUUUAAGCUGGAGGAAGGUGGGGAUGAUGUCAGAUCAGCGUGGCCCUUACGCCUGGGGCAACACACGUGCUACAAUGCCAUAGACAAUGGGUCGCCAAGCCGCAAGGCGGAGCUAAUCCCAACAAAAUAUGGCCCAGUUCGGAUUGGAGUCUGCAACUCGACUCCAUGAAGCCGGAAUCGCUAGUAACCGUGUAUCAGAACGUCACGGUGAAUACGUUCUCGAGCCUUGUACACACCGCCCGU